rnacentral:lncRNA from 1 species
AGGGUUCUUAAAAAGGUCUUUAACAAAGAUAUGGGCCAAACAACAUCAAAGUUUUUGAAAUCUUCACUAAUGCAAUGUUCCUUCCAUUAAGGUAUACAAAAAUAAAAAUUUGCAUCAAAUCUUACAUCUUUUAAUCAGAAAUGAUCAGUAAAUUUCGAUAAAAAUUUGAGUUAAUUUGAAAAAGGACUUGCCUGGCGAAGAUGGCCUGAAGUAUGAAUAGCCAAAUCUUCUUCAAUGGAGUGCUUGUAGCGGUUGAUAUAGGCACGCCUCACAUUAAAGAGCUCUUCAGGGGAAAGAACAGAGGAAAUUUCCACAAUCACAUUGUAGUUUUUUCCACUCUUUAUAGCAACAUGGACCAAAACAGCGUCACGAUCAGCAGGCUCCAAUAUCCAACGGUACACAGCUUUCUGUUCAUUAAAAUAAAAUUUCAAAAUUUUACAUAUAUUAAUUUAAGAAAAUGAAUUAAUUGAAUGUUAUUUAUAAAAUUGACAAAAUUGACUUUGAUACUAAAUUACUAAUAUGCACCUCAAAAUCUCCUUUGAUCUCAGACUCCAAGCGUUUGACAAGAUCCUCAUGAUAAAUGUCCUCAUAAGAUUUUCUAAUUAAUUGUAUCUGAUGUGAGGUUCUGUGACCCAGUAUUGAUAUCACAGUGUUUUCAUCAGUUCCCCAUCCUACAAUAUUGAACAUAUAUAAUACAAUCAACUAAAUUUUGAGCACCCCAUUAUUUAAUUAAAGAUUACAUAAGAGUAUCAGAUUCAUAGAAAAAAAAAAGUAACAAAGUAUGCAAAUUAAAUAGCCAAAUCAGUAUGCAAAUUUGUCAACAACAAAAAUGAUGAUAGGGGAAGAUCACAC